rnacentral:rRNA from 1 species
AUUGAACGCUGGCGGCAUGCCUUACACAUGCAAGUCGAACGGUAACAGGGAGCUUGCUCCGCUGACGAGUGGCGAACGGGUGAGUAAUGUAUCGGAACGUACCAUUCAGUGGGGGAUAACGUAGCGAAAGUUACGCUAAUACCGCAUAUUCUGUGAGCAGGAAAGCAGGGGAUCGCAAGACCUUGCGCUGAUUGAGCGGCCGAUAUCAGAUUAGCUAGUUGGUGAGGUAAAGGCUCACCAAGGCGACGAUCUGUAGCGGGUCUGAGAGGAUGAUCCGCCACACUGGAACUGAGACACGGUCCAGACUCCUACGGGAGGCAGCAGUGGGGAAUUUUGGACAAUGGGGGCAACCCUGAUCCAGCCAUGCCGCGUGAGUGAAGAAGGCCUUCGGGUUGUAAAGCUCUUUCGGCCGGGAAAAAUCGCAUCAGUUAAUACCUGGUGUGGAUGAUGGUACCGGAAUAAGAAGCACCGGCUAACUACGUG